GUGUCAGCAGCCGCGGUAAUACGUAGGGUCCGAGCGUUGUCCGGAGUUACUGGGCGUAAAGCGCGCGCAGGCGGUCCCGCGCGCCCGGCGUGAAAGCCCCCGGCUCAACCGGGGAGGGUCGUCGGGGACGGCGGGACUUGAGGGCGGUAGGGGCCGGUGGAAUCCCUGGUGUAGUGGUGAAAUGCGUAGAGAUCAGGGGGAACACCCGUGGCGAAGGCGGCCGGCUGGGCCGACCCUGACGCUGAGGCGCGAAGGCGUGGGGAGCGAACGGGAUUAGAAACCCUCGUAGUCC
rnacentral:rRNA from 1 species